UGGCCGAUGCUCCCUUCUCGUCCGGCGACGGCGACGGCAGCUCCCGUCGGCCGUCGCGGCGAGUGGGCUAGCAUUCCUCCUCCUGCUCUCCCCCCUUCCCAGGCGGGUUCCUCACCGCUGCGCUCCCGCUCCCACUAUUCUCUCACCAUGGAUAUGGCCGGCUAACCGCCACGGAGCUACCACGUCAGAGAAGGGGAGGACAGGAUCGACAAGGAGGAAGAAAGGAGUCGUGCGGGUUGCUGAGGAUCACGAGGAGGAGGGAUAUGGGGACUAGAUCGGAGUGCGAGUUCAUGGACCAUUGGUUUCCCCAGGUGAUGCUAUGUUUGACUGCUUUGGACUACUUUAUUUGUCCCCACCUCAAUUCUCGAACCAUGAUUUUUCUAUAUGUAUACUUGAUCUGUGUUCAUCAGCAAACAUAAGUAAUUGUUGAAUCUUGUAUCAUCGGAUCAUGCUAGUAUAAGUUUUCUUUUGCUUCCUCGACACUAGAGUAGCACAGAUUUUGAGCCUCAAAAAAGGAUGUAGCUGAUCAUGCAUUUCAUGAACCGGGACGAACUACACACACUCGUCCCUUCAAAACUUUACACAAAAUCCUAGGCUUCAGUUACAUGGCUUGAAAAGUUUUCUGAAGAUGCAAUGGAGUUUGGUGCCUUAAGUUCUCUUUCCAGAUUUGACAGAAAAUUGGACACAAAUAAAUAUUGCAGAAGGCGACUCAAAUACCAAAUCAACAAAUUUCAGUAGUCAAUUUAUCAUAAACUUUCGGAUCAGGUUACAGAUCAAACUUCUGCAGUAGGCACAUUGAUAAUAAUAGAACGCUUUACAACUCAGCAUAAUUUAUUUCAUAAUUUGGACUUAACUGAACUCAACAUAUGAUGCCUAGCUCGGUGCUCAUCUCCUAUUCAACCCAGCACAUCUCAGAAGAUGAUCCUCCUACCUUGAAGCUUGAAGGAGUCGUCACCCGAUCCUAGCAGCAAGGGUAGUAGGCGACGCAGCGCCUGCGCCGAGGAGGAGUGCACAGCAUCAGCAGCAGCAAGGCGAGGACGAUGGUGACAAGCAGCCCCAGAAGGUUGAACGCCGGCUCAUCAUCUUCCUGGCUGCAGCAUAGCUUGCCCAUGUUAGCUGUUACAAAGGGCGGAGCGAUGAGCUUUUGGUAGGAUGGGGAUGAAGGAGGCGAGGGGAGCAAUUAAAGGCUUCUUGGCUGUGGAAUUUCUUUAUGCCGACGACUCUGGAUGGAAGGUCUUUCUAUUCUAUGGUAUAUGGUAUGUCUGAUAUGAAUCUUAUUAGCUUUUGGGCUUUGUUUUGUGGCUGUGUGGGGCUAGUUGUUGAGACAUCACUAUCUGCCUUUCCAUAUUAUAGUUUAUUUUUCUUCUUUGUCCUUUUGGUUGAAGAUGAGACAACUCAUUCAACCAAUCAAUUACACACCAACUAGUACCACUACCACCCAAUCAGGAUAAAUUUUGUUACAGGCACAUCAGUAGGAAUGUUAUAUGAUUUAACUGGCAUCAGCUUCCUGCUUUUCCUUUCAGUAUAUCCUGGUCAAAUUCAUAUUCUUCUGAUCUGUACUGUCAUUAUCAAGUGUUAAUUUGAUUAUAUUGACACCGUAAUCCACAUUGGUAGCAUGUGCUGAUACUGGUGGAAGGCCAUGUUGUCUUCAACAAUUUGCUGUUUUUUUUUUCCAGUGCUGCUAUGCGUCGUGUAUGGGUUUUUCCUCUCAAAUUUUGCUUCAUUCACAGGACACUGUCAGAUCUAUCGAUAGCAUAUCUAUUGUGGGCCAUCAACAUCAACUUGAAUUCUG
rnacentral:lncRNA from 1 species